AACCGCAUGGGCAGCAUUCAGGCGCAGCUGCACUUUUACUGUUCCUUUCAAUCUCCCUGCAUUCCUAAGAGAGCCACUUAGCAGGGGAUCCCCCUCACAUUUAAUGGGACAGUCCUGUUCAGCAAGUCAUUCUGUGAUUACUGCCUCUAACAAGGGGAGCAACUAGUGUGACAGGGCAGGGGGAGGGAAGAGAUUAAACCCAGAAGUAACAUAACUACCCAGUAUGGCUCCCCGCAUAACUUUCAUCUAAGAAUGCAACAUUAAAAAGGUUUUGUGUUCUAGCUGUCAUUGUUCAACAAGAUGAAAUGCCACAGAUACCCAGAAAAGAGAACAGGAGAGAAAAAAUGGACUUGAGCUGCAAGAGUGAACAACUUAUGUAAGGCAGAUGAUGGACCCAGAUGGUGAAGUAGUCAUGACUCCCAUCAGCAGAUGGGAAGAACAAAAUAUUGUGCAUGGUUCAGUUGUCUUGCUUGCUUGCUGCUGCUUCUUUUUAAAAUCCCUUUUGUAACAUGCACCAUGACUGGUGACCCAGCUGUGCAGUUUCUUUGCUCUGAGGAGGAUUGAGUUAUCACAAGGAUCAUGUUACAACAAGUCCUGCAGCCUGUCCUUCUACCCCAGCAAAGUACAAGAUUCCACAAGAUCCCUUUUUUCUUCCUCCCAUAACAACAAUACAGCAUCUGUCCAACAGGUUCCAAAUACACAAUGUCAAUACUAUUUAAAAUGUUAUGAUCUGAAACUAAAAUUUUGGAACAAAAUGUGGCUUUGGUGGUCAAAAUUAAAGAAUGUUCAGCUGAAAUAAUGGGUCCCACAACUAUAAAACAGUGUUC